CUGUUCACUUUCCUGUUAGCAGGCAAACCACAGGUGUUCCUAAAAACAUUAACGAGGCCUCUGGUUGAAGUAACUGUGGCCGAAUCUGACACUUAAUUAGAAACACCUGUGCUCACACAGGAGCAGGGCUGUUCACUUCCUACUUCGGCUGCCGUGAUAAAGGCCUAUUUUCAUCAUACACACUGCAAC